AGUGAACGCUGGCGGCAGGCCUAACACAUGCAAGUCGAACGGGAUUGGUAGCAAUACCAUGAGAGUGGCGCACGGGUGCGUAACGCGUAUGCAAUCUACCUUUUGCAGAGGGAUAGCCCAGAGAAAUUUGGAUUAAUACCUCAUAGUAUUAUAGAAUGGCAUCAUUUUAUAAUUAAAGUCACAACGGCAAGAGAUGAGCAUGCGUCCCAUUAGCUAGAUGGUAAGGUAACGGCUUACCAUGGCGACGAUGGGUAGGGGUCCUGAGAGGGAGAUCCCCCACACUGGUACUGAGACACGGACCAGACUCCUACGGGAGGCAGCAGUGAGGAAUAUUGGUCAAUGGACGCAAGUCUGAACCAGCCAUGCCGCGUGCAGGAUGACGGUCCUAUGAAUUGUAAACUGCUUUUGUACGAGAAGAAACAUCCCGACGUGUCGGGACUUGACGGUAUCGUAAGAAUAAGGAUCGGCUAACUCCGUGCCAGCCGCCGCUGUAAUAC
rnacentral:rRNA from 1 species